rnacentral:misc_RNA from 1 species
UUUUUUUUUUUUUCCCUUCUUCUUCUUCACAAAAUAAGUUCUCUGACGACGAAUAGGGAGACAAGGUAUUGAUGCAAAUGCAAGAGAAUCCGAUCAAAGUAAAGUGCACUUCAUCCCAUUGAUAGAAAGCCUCAGACCAGUUUUCUGAGUAGCUGAUUCAAGGUUGUGAUUUUGGGCUGUUGUAAAUAUGAUGACGAGUAUAGAAGAACUUGAGUGGAGACAGAGACAUCAGAGGUUAGAUGCACUGAAGGCUUCACAAUACCCAGAGCAGAAGAACGAUGGGGUAAAAGAAAUGAUGGAUGAUGGAUUAUAUGUAGUAACGAAGGAGGACAACGUCGACGCCUUCAUUGAUGAGCUGGAGCUGGUUUCGUCACAAAGCCAACUUUCUUUGAUGAACAUGAUUUUCAAUCAUGUUAGUCCCUCUGCAAAUAACUUGCUUCAUGUUGCAUCUAGCUGUGGAAGCAAAGAGAUUGCAGAACUCCUAGUUAGCCAUUUUCCUUGCUUAAUCGCUGUUAAGAACUUCCAGGGUGAUACUGCACUUCAUGUUGCUGCCAGAGCUGGAAUGCUGAACACAUCAACGAUUUUCAUCAAUUAUGCAGUCAACUACAAGGAAUCAUAUGGCUUGCUAAGGAUGAGGAAUGAAAAAGGAAACACUCCUUUGCAUGAAGCAGUGAUCAAUAAACACCAUGAAGUGGCCGAACAUCUGGUUUUCUAUGACCAUCAAGUGGCAUACUGGCAGAACGGAGAAAAUGCUCUCCAAGCAGAAGAGAAAGGGAAGUCUCCAUUGUAUCUAGCAGCGGAAAAUGGUGAUGAGAAAAUGCUUGACAUUCUUUUACAAGGUAUAGCUAGAGAUGGUGAUAUCAAAUCACUGCUGCAAGGAAGGUCUCCAGCGCAUGCUGCUGUAAUGAAGAAAAAUUUAGACAUAUUGACACUGAUGGUAAAUAGAAGGCCAGAGCUAUUGCAGUUUAAUGAUAUGGGAGAAAAUCCAAUUCAUUUUGCAUCUUCCAUCGGCUAUCUUAAGGGAGUUCAAUUCCUGUUAAAAAAUUAUAGAAAAGGUACAAUAGAGAAGAACGAAGAAGGCCUCUACCCUAUUCAUGUUGCAUGCAAAAAGGGCAAACUAGAAGUAGUAAAGGAGUUGCUUAAACAAUGGCGUGAUCCAAUGGAUUUUCUCAAUGAAAAAGGGCAGAACAUCCUGCAUGUUGCGGCAUUGAAUGGAAGGAAAAAUGUGGUUGAGUAUAUACUCGGAGAUGAUCGGUUUCAGGAACUUGUAAAUCAGAGAGACAAAGAUGGAAAUACACCUUUGCAUUUGGCUACAAAGCACAACCGUCCAACGGCAGUGUAUGCUCUGGUGAGGGACCGCCGUGUCCUUCAGGAUGCUUUAAACAAUGAAAACAUGACUCCGUAUGGUGAAGCUCAGAGACAAUCUAAAAAGUUGGAUCAAAACGCUGAACCUGAGACACAAUCUACGAAGUUGCUGGAAAAUCUGGAAAUACCUAUUUCAGAUGGCAAGCACAAGCAACUUCGUCCAAAGACUCAUAAGGACUCACAUGGCAAUAGGAGAGAUUAUUAUGGAGUGCUGAUGACACAUGCAAUCUUAUUCCUUUCUGGGAACCUUAGGGAACACCUAAUUGGCUGCCUCACUGUCGAAAGCAAGCGCCCAUCUAAAGAGGAUAUAAAUAACAGGAUACAGAUUCUUCUGGUGGUAGCAGUACUUGUUGCUGGCGCAAGCUUUGCUGGUACUGUGCAGGUGCCUGGAGGCAGUAAUGAUCUAUCCCAAAAAGUAAAAAUCCUCAAGCAUUUAUAUUUUCUAUAUGACUUGCUAGCAUUGAAUUUCUCCGUGGCAGCAUCUAUAAUCUUGUGUUGGGCACAAUUAUAUGAUCUGAAACUUUCACACCCUGCGAUUUGUUUAGCUUCAUGGUUGGUUGGUGCCUCUAUUUUCCAAAUGUUCAUGGCAUUCCUGUUUGCUUUGGGCAUAGACGCAGUUGAUUUCAAUCUCAUUUUUGUAGCUACAUUUGCUGUAGGAGCUAUUUUUCUGCUUAUUCAAACUAUCCUUUUUCUUCCAUUGUUUUUCGUUCCAUUCCUUACUCCACUAAGCUUCAACAAAAUUUUCGAAAAUCUAGUUUCUCCUUUCAUAUAUUUCUGGAUGUUUUUCCUCCAUUUCUGUUUCCAAGACGUUAUUGACAGGCUUAAUUUUACUGAAGAGGAAGAAAACUAGUUGUGAUUCUAUUCGUUUUUCUCAAGUGAUUGUGAGAAUAAUUUGAACUUCUUGUCUAUUUCAGUUUCUACUUUGAUUGAUUAUUUGGAACAGCUUGUAUUUGCUUAUUUAAGCCUUAUUUGUAAUCCAAAAAAACAAAACUGUUUGCAUGUACUUAAUUAAUUAGUGGUAUGUAAUUUGUAUUUGUUCUUUC